GGAGAGAUGUCCGAGUGGUCUAUGGUGCAAUCUUGGAAAGGUUGUGUGCGGCAACGUACCGGGGGUUCGAAUCCCCCUCUCUCCG
rnacentral:tRNA from 1 species